UUUUAAAAAUUUUAUUCAUUGGUACUGUUAAAAACUAGUGUGACUAACAGAAUAGUCAGAUAACAAUAUAUGGUAUGCCACAUAUACCUCAUGUUGAUGCAUAGAGAUCAGUUAUUAACAAUAGAAAUAGAUGAAAUUUUUAACG
rfam:Gossypium raimondii Chr10_contig_1181, whole genome shotgun sequence.